GUUUCACAAAUCACAAACAUGGUUUUACAUAUUCUGCUAAUAGAGCAGAAUAAUCCAGUGCAGGUUUGAAGAGUCUAGAAGUUGUAGUUUUUUAACUAGAGUAGAUUAAAGAUGCGCAAGGUAGUGAAAAAUUAGGUGGAAUCGCCCUUUAGCCAUUGCCCGAAUCGGAAUCUAACUUCAGCUUCGUUGCUGUUGCUGCUACCUUUCAUUCAUUUGGGGUAAUGUUAGCGUGGUAGUAGCUGUUAGCGUAAGCAGAAGCCGGCUUUUCCUUACACAGUUCAGCGUUGACAUGACUCCGGUAGAUUUCCUUCUUCCAAACUAAGAAGAGACAGCUUUGCGUCGACAACUGAGCUGCUUGUAAAGCCUUUGUGUCCAGGAUAAGCUCGAUUUUCCGACAACGGUCAUGGAUUAUGAACACAAAGCUAAAGUGGUAGCAGACUGCUUGCUGAGCUACAGGAGAGACGAAUCUGGGUGGAAGGUCUGCAGAAAAUCGAAUGAUGUGGUUGUUUCUUGGCGUCCCUCGUCUGAGUUCCCUGGGAAUGUGUAAGCACUCUUUUUAUUUUUCUCUAUUUUUAGAGUCCUUAAUCAGGUUUCUGAAACGUGUUCCUAGGCAACAUUUGGCAUGCUUCUUGUAAUGAAAAUUAGUUUUUUAUUGUGAUAUAACAUUCUCCCAAAUAUUUUCAUGUGAGUUCAAUUUAUUACUUGUCCAUCACAUGUUUACAUGAACAAACCUUAGAAUCAGAGUUUGUGGUUAAGUUAACUUGGGUAUCUGUCUGUCUAAUAUAGCUAUGCUAUAGGUUCAGCAUAUCUAUGAACCUCAGCUAUCUGUUGAGGUUCAUAGCUGGUGAGGCACUGACUUAAUCAUAAUCGGAUUUAUAAAUAUAGACCCCCUGCAUGUUGUUGUAACGCUGGAGCCCACAAAUCCAGUGCAUUGUCAUUCAUAGCCGCGCUGCUGUAGUAGAAUAAUUCUGUUAACUCAAUAAAACUUGGAAUUGUAGGUAUUAUUAAUUUAGUGCUGUGCUCCACAGCAAAGGGAAAAACCAUUUAAGUACAACUGAAAACCAUUUCUUUCUCUCUCUCUGUGUCACCAAGCUACUGACAACGCCACUUAAUGUUUCAUACUUACGCAACAGGCUGAAUGUCCUGGGGCCUCAUGCAUAAAAGACUGCGCAGUUUUCACACUAAAACUUAGCGUAUGGAAAAUUUUUGAAAAGUGCGGCGCACAAAAAUAUUUAGAUGUAUUGUAAUGAGGUCCAACACACCGCAGAUGUAAUCCCGCCAACAGAGUUUAUUAGAAUAAGUACGAGCUGCCAUUCCUGAAGCUGCAGCUCACGCCUCUAACAAACCGUUGCACUCUACUGAAUAACUUCACUGCUAACACACUGAACUCCCUCCUCUUCCAGUCCUGGUCCUGAUCAGGGAGUCAGCAGAGUGAGACAGGGGAAGCCCAUAAAACUCUACACAUAACAAUAAAGAUUACAAUGCAACUUAUAACAAAUAUACACAUAACCAUAUGGACCCCAGCAGAAGUAAAACAAAGAAUCGUUACAGUAUUAAGCCGUGGUCGUGCAUCUUUCCUUUAUGAAUCCCAAUUUGUGGGAAAUAGAGAACAGCUGCUGGUCCGCCCUGUCGCCACCCAUAAAUACAUAUGUAAAUUAGUAUAAAUACCUGGAAGUUUGCUACCAAGCAGUAACCAUGGCAACGUCCUUGUUUGUAGCAGUAUAAGUAUUUAUAAUGAUAAUUAUAUAUUUUAUUUAAAAGCUGCUUUCAGGGCUCAUAAAGCUCACAAAAAUAAAAACAAUACAUUUUAAAGAGAGAAAAUCCAAA